rnacentral:rRNA from 1 species
UGAGGGAUUUUGCGCAAUGGGGGAAACCCUGACGCAGCAACGCCGCGUGAGUGAAGAAGGCUCUUGGGUCGUAAAGCUCUGUCAACAGGGAAGAAGUUAUCAUGCAUGAAUAGUGUGUGGUAUUGACGGUACCUGUGGAGGAAGCACCGGCUAACUCCGUGCCAGCAGCCGCGGUAACACGGGGGGUGCAAGCGUUAUUCGGAAUUAUUGGGCGUAAAGGGCGCGCAGGCGGUCUUGCCGGUCAGGUGUGAAAGCCCGGGGCUCAACCCCGGAAGAGCAUUUGAAACAGCAAGACUUGAGUACGGGAGAGGAAAGCGGAAUUCCUGGUGUAGAGGUGAAAUUCGUAGAUAUCAGGAGGAACACCCAUGGCGAAGGCAGCUUUCUGGACCGAUACUGACGCUGAGGCGCGAAGGUGUGGGUAGCGAACA